UAGAGUUUGAUCCUGGCUCAGGACGAACGCUGGCGGCGUGCCUAAUACAUGCAAGUCGAACGCUUCUUUUCCCACCGGAGCUUGCUCCACCGGGAAAAGAGGAGUGGCGAACGGGUGAGUAACACGUGGGUAACCUGCCCAUCAGAAGGGGAUAACACUUGGAAACAGGUGCUAAUACCGUAUAACAAUCGAAACCGCAUGGUUUCGUUUUGAAAGGCGCUUUACGGUGCCGCUGAUGGAUGGACCCGCGGUGCAUUAGCUAGUUGGUGAGGUAACGGCUCACCAAGGCCACGAUGCAUAGCCGACCUGAGAGGGUGAUCGGCCACAUUGGGACUGAGACACGGCCCAAACUCCUACGGGAGGCAGCAGUAGGGAAUCUUCGGCAAUGGACGAAAGUCUGACCGAGCAACGCCGCGUGAGUGAAGAAGGUUUUCGGAUCGUAAAACUCUGUUGUUAGAGAAGAACAAGGGUGAGAGUAACUGUUCACCCCUUGACGGUAUCUAACCAGAAAGCCACGGCUAACUACGUGCCAGCAGCCGCGGUAAUACGUAGGUGGCAAGCGUUGUCCGGAUUUAUUGGGCGUAAAGCGAGCGCAGGCGGUUUCUUAAGUCUGAUGUGAAAGCCCCCGGCUCAACCGGGGAGGGUCAUUGGAAACUGGGAGACUUGAGUGCAGAAGAGGAGAGUGGAAUUCCAUGUGUAGCGGUGAAAUGCGUAGAUAUAUGGAGGAACACCAGUGGCGAAGGCGGCUCUCUGGUCUGUAACUGACGCUGAGGCUCGAAAGCGUGGGGAGCAAACAGGAUUAGAUACCCUGGUAGUCCACGCCGUAAACGAUGAGUGCUAAGUGUUGGAGGGUUUCCGCCCUUCAGUGCUGCAGCUAACGCAUUAAGCACUCCGCCUGGGGAGUACGACCGCAAGGUUGAAACUCAAAGGAAUUGACGGGGGCCCGCACAAGCGGUGGAGCAUGUGGUUUAAUUCGAAGCAACGCGAAGAACCUUACCAGGUCUUGACAUCCUUUGACCACUCUAGAGAUAGAGCUUCCCCUUCGGGGGCAAAGUGACAGGUGGUGCAUGGUUGUCGUCAGCUCGUGUCGUGAGAUGCUGGGUUAAGUCCCGCAACGAGCGCAACCCUUAUUGUUAGUUGCCAUCAUUUAGUUGGGCACUCUAGCAAGACUGCCGGUGACAAACCGGAGGAAGGUGGGGAUGACGUCAAAUCAUCAUGCCCCUUAUGACCUGGGCUACACACGUGCUACAAUGGGAAGUACAACGAGUCGCGAAGUCGCGAGGCUAAGCUAAUCUCUUAAAGCUUCUCUCAGUUCGGAUUGUAGGCUGCAACUCGCCUACAUGAAGCCGGAAUCGCUAGUAAUCGCGGAUCAGCACGCCGCGGUGAAUAUGUUCCCGGGCCUUGUACACACCGCCCGUCACACCACGAGAGUUUGUAACACCCGAAGUCGGUGAGGUAACCUUUUGGAGCCAGCCGCCUAAGGUGGGAUAGAUGAUUGGGGUGAAGUCGUAACAAGGUAGCCGUAAUCACUAGUGAAUUC
rnacentral:rRNA from 1 species